CAGUCGCCGCGGUAAUACGAAGGGUGCAAGCGUUAAUCGGAAUUACUGGGCGUAAAGCGUGCGUAGGCGGUUUGUUAAGUCUGCUGUGAAAUCCCCGGGCUCAACCUGGGAAUGGCAGUGGAUACUGGCAGGCUAGAGUGUGUCAGAGGAUGGUGGAAUUCCCGGUGUAGCGGUGAAAUGCGUAGAGAUCGGGAGGAACAUCAGUGGCGAAGGCGGCCAUCUGGGACAACACUGACGCUGAGGCACGAAAGCGUGGGGAGCAAACAGGAUUAGAUACCCCAGUAGUCCCUGUCUCUUAUAC
rnacentral:rRNA from 1 species